ACGGGUGAGUAACACGUGGGUAACCUGCCUAUAAGACUGGGAUAACAUUCGGAAACGAAUGCUAAUACCGGAUACGCGGUUUGGUCGCAUGACCGAAUCGGGAAAGAUGGAGCAAUCUAUCACUUAUAGAUGGACCCGCGGCGCAUUAGCUAGUUGGUGAGGUAACGGCUCACCAAGGCGACGAUGCGUAGCCGACCUGAGAGGGUGAUCGGCCACACUGGGACUGAGACACGGCCCAGACUCCUACGGGAGGCAGCAGUAGGGAAUCUUCCGCAAUGGACGAAAGUCUGACGGAGCAACGCCGCGUGAGUGAUGAAGGUUUUCGGAUCGUAAAGCUCUGUUGCCAGGGAAGAAUGCUUGGGAGAGUAACUGCUCCCAAGGUGACGGUACCUGAGAAGAAAGCCCCGGCUAACUACGUGCCAGCAGCCGCGGUAAUACGUAGGGGGCAAGCGUUGUCCGGAAUUAUUGGGCGUAAAGCGCGCGCAGGCGGCCUUGUAAGUCUGUUGUUUAAACUUGGGGCUCAACCCCAAGUCGCAAUGGAAACUGCAAAGCUUGAGUGCAGAAGAGGAAAGUGGA
rnacentral:rRNA from 1 species